AUACUUACCUGGCAGGGAAGAUACCAUGACCGUGAAGGUGGUUUUCCCAGAGCAAGGUUUACCCAUUGCACUCCAAGUGUGCUGACCACUGCAAUCCCCUCCCAUCCUCCCAAAAUAUCAAUAUGUUCGCUGGCUUGAUGCUAAACAUAUGUCUAGGAAUGUCACGUAUGUAUAUAUUUGCAUUUA
rnacentral:snRNA from 1 species